rnacentral:rRNA from 14 species
GGAGCGAUCAGAAGAGAAAAUGUAGGCAUAAGUAACGAUAAUGCGGGCGAGAAACCCGCACACCGAAAGACUAAGGUUUCCUCAGCUAUGCUAAUCAGCUGAGGGUUAGUCGGGACCUAACGCGAACCCGAAAGGGGUAGUGGAUGGACAACAGGUUAAUAUUCCUGUACUACCAUAUAGAGUGAUGGGGUGACGGAGUAGUGAAAGUCCCGCGUACUGACGGAAUAGUACGUUAAAGAGUGUAGGUAUAGGCAUAGUAGGUAAAUCCGCUGAGCUUGCUGAACUUGAUAGUACCACAACGCUUCGGCAGCGUGGAUAGUGGACCUAAUCAGACUUCCAAGAAAAACCUCUAAGCAUAUGGAUAUGGUACCCGUACCGUAAACCGACACAGGUAGUCAAGGAGAGAAUCCUGAGGUGCUCGAGUGAUUCAUGGCUAAGGAACUAGGCAAAAUGGCCCUGUAACUUCGGGAGAAGGGGCGCCAGCUUCGGCUGGCCGCAGUGAAAAGGCCCAGGCGACUGUUUAACAAAAACACAUGGCUUUGCGAAAUCGAAAGAUGAAGUAUAAGGCCUGACACCUGCCCGGUGCUGGAAGGUUAAGGGGGGACGUUAGCGUAAGCGAAGCGUUGAACUGAAGCCCCAGUAAACGGCGGCCGUAACUAUAACGGUCCUAAGGUAGCGAAAUUCCUUGUCGGGUAAGUUCCGACCUGCACG